rnacentral:ribozyme from 1 species
ACACAGAGAGAAAAAGGACAGACAUAUAAAUAUACGUAUGUACGUAUAUAUAUAUAUAUAUAUAUAUAUAUAUACGUACAUACGUAUAUUUAUAUGUCUGUCCUUUUUCUCUCU